UACGGAGGGUGCGAGCGUUGUCCGGAAUCACUGGGCGUAAAGGGCGCGUAGGCGGCUUUUUAAGGGUGCGGUGAAAGCCCGGGGCUUAACCCCGGGUCGGCCGUGCCGACUGAAAAGCUGGAGCACUGUAGAGGCAGGUGGAAUUCCGGGUGCAGCGGUGGAAUGCGUAGAGAUCCGGAAGAACACCAGUGGCGAAGGCGGCCUGCUGGGCAGUUGCUGACGCUGAGGCGCGACAGCGUGGGGAGCAAACAGG
rnacentral:rRNA from 1 species